rnacentral:lncRNA from 1 species
UUUUUUUUUUUUUUUUGGUCUUUUUGUCUUUUCUAGGGCCACACCCUUGGCAUAUGGAGGUUCCCAGGCUAGGGGUUGCAUCAGAGCUGUAGCUGCCGGCCUACACCACAGCCACAGCCACGCCAGAUCCGAGCCGCAUCUGCGAUCUACACCACAGCUCACCGUAACACCCGAUCCUUAACGCAUUGUGCGAGGCCAGGGAUCGAACCCGAAACCUCGGGGUUCCUAGUCGGGUUCGUUAACCACUGAGCUACGAUGGGAACUACUGCAAGUUUUUUUUUUAUGGGAAAAUUCAACACAGAAUUGAGCUCAACAAAGAAAGAAAGAAAAGUCGGUUGCCACGCCCCUGCACGAGAACUUUCAUAUCACAGCUCUUCCUCUCUUGCAGGAGCCUCACUUGCGCCUUGGUCGGCCUCUGUCCUCUGGCCCAAUCAGCCUUUUCUCUGCGUCCUGCUGCUUCUCCGUGAAUCCUCAUCCGAGCCACACCGACCCCCGGCACAUUCCUCCUCACUGCCUUCGCUUCGAAUCCCCUGCCCCACCUCGGCUACCCUGCCUCCCCAGCUCCAGCCUCAUCGUCAUCUCACGAGUCACUUCUGCAGCCAGGCUGCGAGAAGCAAGCCGUCCUUCCGUAUGUGGCUCUGGGGCUCCUGGGCUAGAGAUCCCAGGGCCGGGGAACAGAAUGUACUGCAAAUAAUAGCAAAAGCACUAGCAGUAAUCGUAAUACUAUAAUGACAAUAAAGACCUCAGGAACAAUACUGCUAACGGCCAGUGUCGCGUCCUCAGGCUUAUGGGCCAGAGAUCAUGCAAAUAUCCUUCCGCAGCCCGGGAGGCAGCACAGUGUGGGCUUCACAGCCUGCGUUUGGAUCUAGACGGCCUGGGUUCAAAUCUGGCUCCCCACUCUCUGGCUGGGUGACAGUGCCAUGCCGCAUUCUCCCAGCUGCGACACAGGGGUGGUAACCGUGUGUAUCUAUGGUGGCCGUGAGGACGAACUGAGUUAACACGGGUGAACACUGAAAGCAGGGCUUGGCACACGAGACGCUCUAGAUGGAUGAUCGCUGUUAUCAAAGCUCAUUAUUUUUCCUUGCAGCAGCUCUGUAAGGACGCGUUUUGCAGAAGAGGGAGGCAGCACCCUGGAAGGCAGUGGCCGCCUUAGUUACUGCUGUGCUCGGGGCCUGGAGAGCAUCAGGCUGAACAAGAAGCCUCUGUUAACUGACCUCAGGGAGAAUAUCAGAGCCUCCAACUGAUUCCCUAUCGUUCUCCUUUCAGGCGUGGUCUCCUGUCUUAGGACCAGACUCCUGAGCAGCUGGAGAUGCAGGCCCAGUGGUGGUCAAGGCUCUGAACGAGCGGCCUGGGCUCUUAGGUGUCCAGUCACCCAGUCUGUCCAUUCAACAAAUACUCCUGAGUUCCCGUGGUGGCUCAGUGGAAACGAACCCCACUAGAAUCCAUGAGGAUAUGGGUUCAAUCCCUGACCUGGCUCAAUGGCUGAAGGAUCCAACUUUGCUGUGAGCUUUGGUGUAGGUCACAGACAUGGUUCAGAUCCUGCUUUGGUGUGGCUGUGUGUAGGCCGGCAGCUGCAGCUUUGAUUUGACCCAUAGCCUGGGAACUUCCACAGGCCGAAAGUGUGGCCCUAAAAAGCACACCACCAAAACAAACACACACAAAAAUAAAUAUUCCUGAGGCUGUGAAAUAGACCACAGAAGACUUCUGUUUCCCCCAUGAUGGCGGAUGGGACAACUUCUGCAUGGCUGGAUUAAAGCACUUAAAAGCAUCUUCUCCAAGAAGGGCUGACGUCACAAGCAUCAUGGGCUUGCCCUCCUGGGAAAUCUGCCUGGAGGAUGAGGCUCUGGAAAGGCUGUGCCGUUCUCUGCAAAUUAGCGUGAUGGGAUUUAAUUCUAUGCAGAGAGCCCGGGCCCUGGAGGUGAGACCAUCACAUAAGCCAGGGCCCCUGAAGAGCUAGUCCCUCAGCGAGAGUAGAGCAGGUGGGGAAAUUCUACCUUGAGCACAAGAGCUCCCAGGAAUGCUUAUCUUUCUAGGCCACAGCUAUACGUGGGGAAGAAAACAUCUCCCUUGAGAACAUGUGGCCACAGGCUUGUUACUCAGACCAUCCAAAUGGCCCACAGACCUCCAGUCAGUAAGUGAACAGAAAAAGGUUUCCUGAGCCAGGGAAAUGCUGGCUACGAUACUCCUAAUAUUCCUAAUAGCCACAUGCCAGUGAUAUUCCUGAAAUUCUGGGCCAGGAACACCCUGAUAUCUUUGAGUCUAUAGUGCUCUGAUGGCUGAAGCCAAGAUAUACAGGAUUCAGAGUUCCCAUCGUGGCUCAGCGGUUAACAAACCUAACUAGUAUCCACGAGGUUGCAGGUUCGAUCCCUGGCCUCACUCCGUGGGGUAAGGAUACAGAUUGCCAUGAACUGUGAUGUAGGUUGCAGAUGUGGUUUGGAUCCAGCGUUGCUGUGGUGUAGGACAGCAGCUAGAGCUCUGAUUUGACCCCUAGCCUGGGAACCUCCAUAUGCUGCACAUGUGAGCUUAAAAAGACACUACUCCCAAAAAAACACAGGAUUCCCACAAAUAUAGCUCCACAGGCCAAGAAUCCUGAACACCCAAGAAAGCAAAAUGUCAUGAGUGGAUCCAUAAGACAUAAUCAGCAGAGUUAAGUUCUCAAGAAGAUCAAAUAGUAGAACUAUUGGGUAGAGACAUAAAGUAGAUUCUAAAAAAUGUCUAACUUUUAUAGAGCAUUUAUUGUGGGUCGGGUACUGCUCUAAGAGUAUUUUAUCUCUUCACUCAUUUAACCUCAAAAUCAUCUUAGACGGUUAGGCGUCAUUGUGACUUUC